rnacentral:rRNA from 1 species
UAGCCAAAUGCCUCGUCAUCUAAUUAGUGACGCGCAAGAAUGGAUUAACGAGAUUCCCUCUGUCCCUACCUACUUUCUAGCGAAACCACGGCCAAGGGAACGGGCUUGGAAGAAUCAGCGGGGAAAGAAGACCCUGUUGAGCUUGACUCUAGUCUGGUACUGUAAGGAGACAUGAGAGGUGUAGCAUAAGUGGGAGGCGGCUCGCCGUCGACAGUGAAAUACCACUACUUUCAU